UUCAAUCAUCUCCCAUUGAAAGCUGAAUCAUGAGGAUACCAUCUCCAAGCAGGUGGAGUAUUUGAUCCCUUCAGCAAGGCAGUGAUUUUGAAAUUCAGGUUUAGACAAAAAGAUAUUUCAAGCUCCUGAAGAACAAGUUUGAAGGAUUCAGAGCAGAGAAUUGCACCCUGGCAUGAUGCCUAUGCCAGCUGGACUGUGUGAUUUUUGUUCUUUAGUAGAAGGAUAACAUGACAUAGCAGGAAUAAUACUGCCUUUUCUUUCUGGCAUGGAUCAAGAGAAAAGAAAAUACAAGAAAACAGAGAGAAGUAUAUUUCAGAGACUACAACACAUUUAUUUUCCAUGAGGAUUUAUCAGUUGUAUUCCAAUCAUGUUGGCGGAUGAACUCAAUAUCCCUGAAGGAUUUCUGCUUACACAUGGAGGACCAGUUGUUUCUCAAAUAUUCUGGCUUCUGACAGCUUUGGAGAUUGUGACAUUGGAAUAAAGGAAAAACGUACAGGACUCAUGAAGAGCUGAAAUGUUCACAAAUAUCAAGCAAAAGUCAAUGAAAUUUAUUUUGAGCUAUUUACAGCGUUUAAUAAUUGAGCAAGCUAUACUCCUAUAAACAAAAUUUGGAGCAUGUUUGUCUCUCUCUGUCUGCCUGGCAUCUACAGAAUUUGGAAACUAGUUCUUCAGAUCAAAGCCCUAGGAAAAAAACUUGCAUCUGAGGGAUCCAGAGGCAGAUGAUAACAGAAGUUAAAAUGUACAACAUAGGUAAGUAUGACUAAUUCCUGCCGAUUGAGCCAAGCUUCCUGUUUCAUGGAUAAAGUUCAUGCUAGUAUCCGUGGCAUAAAUAAGAUCUAGGGAACUCAAAGGCUACUGACAACAGAGGAGAUAGGGUGUACAUGGGUAAGAGCAGAUAUUCCCAUCUCCUAAGCUCCCCUGUUAACAUGGAUGAAAGCUGCUUUGACACCCAUGGGUGAAACCCUUGUGGCAGUUGCCAGAACUCGGAGAUGUAAGGACAGAAAAAAGAAAGAAGGGUGCCUCACUUUCUCACAUACCCCAGGUAUUCACUAGGAAGAGAAGGCAACCUGACUUGCCUCAUUCCCCUCUUUCUACAUGAGUAGCCGUCCAUCUUCAGUCUGUACCACUUUCAAAUGCAUCCUGAACCCCUGGGACUCCUUUGAAAAAAAAAAAAGCCUUCUUUUUUAGUUUCUCCUCCUCAGUUCUCUCUUCACAGAUAGGUAAUUGUGUCUCUGUACUAUGGGACACUCCCCUCAGAUGCAUCCUCCAAACUGGGAAAAGUUAAUUUCCCAAACAUUAAACUGGUUGACUUAGGAUUGGGCUCAGGGGAAGGGAACCCAGAAGACUGACCUGCUGGCAAAAAGGGUAAAAGUGUUUUUUAAUCAGUUGGGCUCUUGGACUCCCUCUCUCUGUGCAAACUGGUAAAAGUUCUCAAGAUUUUCAAGCAGUCUUUACCUUGAUCUUGUUUAAUUUUUUUUCUUUCAGAGAUGGAGUCUCACUCUGUCACCCAGGCUGGAGUGCAGUGGUGCGAUCUCAGCUCACUGCAACCUCCUCCUUCCAGGUUUCAGCAAUUCUCCUGCCUCAGCCUCCCGAGUAGCUGGGAUUACGGGUGCAUGCCACCAUGGCUGGCUAAUUUUUUGUAUUUUUUUUAGUAGAGACAGGGUUUCAUCAUGUUGGCCAGGGUGUUCUUGAGCUCCUGACCUCAAGUGAUCUGCCCGCCUUGGACUCGCAAAGUGUUAGGAUUACACGCGUGAGCCACUGCACCCCCUUGUUUUAUUUUGAUACAUGUUUUUUAAUGACCCGGUUUGUCUUUUCUUGCCUUCAGGCCAUAAAACUCCAAGCAGUCAUGCAACCAGAGCCUCAGACAAUGGCUUCUUUUGCCAGGGACCCUUGCUUAGGCCUCUGAGGGAGCUCUGACAGCUGUUUUCCCCAAACAGUGCCCGCUUUCAGCAGGAAGCAGUUAAGAUCAGUCUUCAUCCUUAUCCUUAUUCUAACAGAAGUUAGAUGUACUUCUUUAGAGGGGGGAAUGAUAGAGGCAGGAGGCAGAUAAGAGAACCUGCAUAGGGUCUUGCCUAAAUAUGCCCUUGGUGAAAAAUUCUGUCCCUUAACACAUGCACAGUAAGUGAAAUAAAUCAAUGUGGAACGGCUCAGACUAAGGGCCCACCUGUGCACUGGGAGAAUGGGGUGGAACCACAGGAAUUUGUGCCUUAUGCAGUGGGGAGGAGCCUGGCAUCUUCUGCUCAUGUGUGGUGGCCUGGCAUUCACUCUGUGAGGUGGGAGUCUGCUGGCAAGACCCCCUCUUUUUUCCUGAGAGCUUUCUUUUAAUAAAUUCUGUUCUCCUCACCUUUCAAUUGUCUG